rnacentral:rRNA from 1 species
AUAUGCUUGUAUUAAAGNUUAAGCCAUGCAUGUCUAAGUAUAAGCUUUUAUACGGCUAAACUGCGAAUGGCUCAUUAAAACAGUUAUAGUUUAUUUGAUGGUCUUUACUACAUGGAUAACCGUGGUAAUUCUAUGGCUAAUACAUGCGCACAUGCCUCUUCCCCUGGAAGGGCAGUGUUUAUUAGAUACAGAACCAACCCACCUUCCGGUGGUCCUCAGGUGAUUCAUAGUAACCGAACGGAUCGCGUUGACUUCGGUCUGCGACGGAUCAUUCAAGUUUCUGACCUAUCAGCUUUCGACGGUACUGUAUUGGACUACCGUGGCAGUGACGGGUAACGGGGAAUUAGGGUUCGAUUCCGGAGAGGGAGCCUGAGAAACGGCUACCACAUCUAAGGAAGGCAGCAGGCGCGCAAAUUACCCAAUCCUGAUUCAGGGAGGUAGUGACAAGAAAUAACAACACUGGAAAUUUCAUUUCUAGUGAUUGGAAUGAUAGGAAUCCAAANCCCUUUCAGAGUAACAAUUGGAGGG